rnacentral:rRNA from 1 species
AUUGAACGCUGGCGGCAUGCCUUACACAUGCAAGUCGAACGGCAGCAUGAUCUCGCUUGCUAGAUUGAUGGCGAGUGGCGAACGGGUGAGUAAUACAUCGGAACGUGCCCUGUAGUGGGGGAUAACUAGUCGAAAGAUUAGCUAAUACCGCAUACGACCUGAGGGUGAAAGUGGGGGACCGCAAGGCCUCAUGCUAUAGGAGCGGCCGAUGUCUGAUUAGCUAGUUGGUGAGGUAAAGGCUCACCAAGGCGACGAUCAGUAGCUGGUCUGAGAGGACGAUCAGCCACACUGGGACUGAGACACGGCCCAGACUCCUACGGGAGGCAGCAGUGGGGAAUUUUGGACAAUGGGCGAAAGCCUGAUCCAGCAAUGCCGCGUGUGUGAAGAAGGCCUUCGGGUUGUAGAGCACUUUUGUCCGGGAAGAAAUGGCUCUGGUUAAUACCUGGGGUCGAUGACGGUACCGGAAGAAUAAGGACCGGCUAACUACGUG